rnacentral:lncRNA from 1 species
AUUGUUUCCAGACCAGCCGAGCCAACUGGGGAGGAGAGGCCAGGCCCAGGGAGAGCAGUAAGAGGCCCAGCUUGCAACACAGGCCCCUGGCGGCUGGGGUCGGCUCAUGGGUUGCUGGGGGGCAGCUGGUGCCAGGUGCCAGCCCUGCUAGACAUGUCCAGGGUCGGGGCAGAGGUCAGGGUGGCUCACAUCCACAAUGAGGCUCCAGGAAGAGGCUCCAGAGGGCCCAGGUCCCUGGAGGAGGACAGAGUAUGGAUUAUCCAGUGAGUCCUCAGAGUGCUCCCGGGAGAUUCUACCUCUAGGCCCUCAUCCUGCCUAGGACUCAGGCAGCCAUCUGGGUCUCUGCUUCCCUAACCACUUCCUCCUCCACCCGACCAUCACCUAGUCUCAAGGACCUGGGCAGCUUCUGGAAGUGGCUGAGACUGGAAGAAUGUUGUCACACCUACCAGAUAUCCCUACGUGUAUCUCUACCAGCCCCACUACAUAUUCUGAAGAACCAAGGUGCAACAGGAACCUAGGGCCUCAAGAGCCCAGGUGCUCAGGAGGGGGCAGCAUGACUCCAGGGCUCGGAAGGAGCCCCUCAGGUAAGGUCCCUUCAAAGCCUGAGAGUUCCCUUUGUCCACAACUCAUCUAUUUUG